UACGCUGUCAAUGCUGAGUGCUAAUAUUUGGAAUAUUAUUUUAGAUAUACAGUUAACACGUUAAGCACUCCGCCUGAGGAGUACGGCCGCAAGGCUAAAACUCAAAGGAAUUGACGGGGGUCUACACAAGUGGUGGAGCAUGUGGUUUAAUGCGAUAAUACGCGCGUAACCUUACCAGCUUUUGCAUAUUUUUAAUAUUACGAUUUAUACUCGUAGUGUUUUUUAUAAAUUCUUAGUGUAUUUUAUAAAAAACUAAAAAAUACAGGUGU
rnacentral:rRNA from 1 species